ACAAACGGCCAUACCACCUUAGGCACGCCCGAUCUCGUCUGAUCUCGGAAGCUAAGCAGGGUCGGGCCUGGUUAGUACUUGGAUGGGUGACCGCCUGGGAAUACCAGGUGCUGUAAGCA
ensembl:rRNA 5S_rRNA 5S ribosomal RNA